GGGGCGGAAGCUCAAUGGUCGAGCAGCCUGCUCAUAACGGGUUGGAACAGGGUUCGAUCCCCUGACGCCCCA
rnacentral:tRNA from 1 species